rnacentral:miRNA from 1 species
AACUGAGCCUUGCUUUGCUUU